rnacentral:rRNA from 1 species
AUACGGAGGGUGCAAGCGUUAUUCGGAAUCACUGGGCGUAAAGGACGCGUAGGCGGGUUGGCAAGUCAGAUGUGAAAUCCUACAGCUUAACUGUAGAACUGCAUUUGAAACUGCUAACCUAGAGUAUGGGAGGGGGAGAUGGAAUUAGUGGUGUAGGGGUAAAAUCCGUAGAUAUCACUAGGAAUACCGAAAGCGAAGGCGAUUUCCUGGAACAUAACUGACGCUAAGGCGUGAAAGCGUGGGGAGCAAACAGGAUUAGAUACCCUUGUAGUCC